rnacentral:misc_RNA from 1 species
GAUGAAGAACGUAGCGAAAUGCGAUAAGUAAUGUGAAUUGCAGAAUUCAGUGAAUCAUCGAAUCUUUGAACGCACCUUGCACCCUUUGGCAUUCCGAAGGGUAUGCUCGUUUGAGUGUCAUUGUACUCUCACUCUCCCGAUGCUUUUGGAUCGGGAGUGGUGGACUUGGGUGUUGCUGCUUUGCUGUGGCUCGCCUCAAAUGGAGUAGUGCAACUCUUGGUUGGACAUAGUACGGCGUGAUAAGUGUCUUCGCCGGCGCCUCAUUAUAGAGGGUGGCCGAUCGGGAGCUCUGUGCUUCAAACCGUCUUCGGACAACAUCUGACAACUUGACCUCAAAUCGAGUAGGACUACCCGCUGAACUUAAGCAUAUCAAUAAGGGAGGA